GGUGAUUUGAGGAUUGAGGAUGUGCUGGAUGCAGGUAUUAGUCCUAACAUAGUGUGAUGUGCCCAAACAACGUUGCAUAACAUUUCAAAUCAGCUCUACGCCGUAUUCCGUGUUACCCAUAUGUCACCUUGAGAGUGGCUUAGGUCGACAAUCGUGCACAGUUCUGCAUGUCUUUGACGUAGGUCACCGUGUCUGCUGUCAGUCUGGGCAUGUCCCUCCUAGGGCAGGCCUGACAUCUGGCUGGAGUGUCACGUUGACAGCUGUGUCUCGGAGCCAAGCAGAGCAGCUAGUGACAGGUGUGUCCUGCCAAAGGGACGCAUACAGACACACACUUCCAAGCAGUCUCUGGACAGCGGACACUUUCCUCUGUCUCUCUCCGACAGCUAUCGGCACAAUGCAGGGCUCUUUCCUCCAGGCCCGUUGUGAACAGCCAAUCAUGACCACAGAUUGGGGUCUUCCUCUGAUCAUCGCUCUUCUGCUACUGGGGCUCCUCUACGCAUUCCUCUACCUGCCUGCAAUCACGCAAAGAGCCCUGCUGGAACAGGCCCUCGCCAACCAGACCGCCAACGAGGACUUCCUUCCUAAAGAGGACUGAGCAGAAGUGUGCAUUCGUCCACCUUGGACUGACACAGCUGUUUUUAUGAUAUGCAAGUAACCUGAAUCUUGAAACCCGUGAAGCAGCAUUUGUUUAUCAUACGGUGAUGUGGAGACACAGGUGGCCCCAGCGUUUCUUUUAAGUUUUUGCUUUAUGCACAAGACUAAGACUCCAAGAAUAGAUCCAGCUCUGGAGAUGCGAAUGGUGAAUCAUAUUUUACCACAGUUGGAGGAGGAGGAGGACUGUGCAGCUCUGAGAUUUCUCGCCUCAUAGGACAACCUUGUGUUUCCAGUCCAGCCCGAGGGAGAGGAAUUAGUCAUACAGAAGUCAUCAUUGCAGCUUAUUGUGUCAGCCAGAAAGAAUCACUAUGAUAUUAGAACCUGUAAAUAUUCUGUUUAAAAUCCCUGCUCAAUCAAACCUGCGCAACUAAUCUAUUCAGCUCGAGGAAGGUGGGUGCCUUUGGAUGUAAACCAGUGAAAAAUGAAAAAUAGUAAUUGUUGUAAAUGUAAAAGGAAUGAUUGUGAUAGGCUGAUCUGUAAUUUUUUUGUCACAACAUUUUAGACUUUUAAGAGAUUUAUGCAUUAUUGAUGAGAUGUAUGCUUCUUUUAAGAGAUUCGUGUGUGAUUUAUGUGCCCUUUUACCACAAAAUGUAGAUGAAUUUCAUACAUAAUAUUCAACAAAUUGCAUGUAAUGUUUUUGAAGCCUACUUGGUAAAUGAUUCACAUUUAUGACAAGAUCUUAUUUAUACAAUAUUUAAGCCAAUAAAGUUCUGUAUUACUCUAUGUCGUCAAAAUAUCAUUGCUAGAAUGAGUUGCUUCAUCUUUCAUCAU
rnacentral:lncRNA from 1 species